UGGGGAAUUUUGCACAAUGGGGGAAUCCCUGAUGCAGCGACGCCGCGUGAUUUAGAAGGCCUUCGGGUUGUAAAAAUCUUUUCUAUGGGAAGAAAAUGACAGUACCAUAGGAAUAAGGACCGGCUAAUUACGUGCCAGCAGCCGCGGUAAUACGUAAGGUCCGAGCGUUGUCCGGAAUCAUUGGGCGUAAAGGGUACGUAGGCGGGUAAGCAAGUUAGAAGUGAAAUCCUAUAGCUCAACUAUAGUAAGCUUUUAAAACUGCUCAUCUUGAGGUAUGGAAGGGAAAGUGGAAUUCCUAGUGUAGCGGUGAAAUGCGCAGAUAUUAGGAGGAAUACCGGUGGCGAAGGCGACUUUCUGGCCAUAACCUGACGCUGAGGUACGAAAGCGUGGGUAGCAAACAGG
rnacentral:rRNA from 1 species